CACGUAGGGCGCGAGCGUUGUCCGGAAUUAUUGGGCGUAAAGAGCUCGUAGGCGGCCUGUUGCGUCCGCUGUGAAAGCCCGGGGCUUAACCCCGGGUCUGCAGUGGAUACGGGCAGGCUAGAGGUAGGUAGGGGAGAAUGGAAUUCCCGGUGUAGCGGUGAAAUGCGCAGAUAUCGGGAGGAACACCGGUGGCGAAGGCGGUUCUCUGGACCUUACCUGACGCUGAGGAGCGAAAGCGUGGGGAGCGAACAGG
rnacentral:rRNA from 1 species